rnacentral:misc_RNA from 1 species
GUAACAAGGUUUCCGUAGGUGAACCUGCGGAAGGAUCAUUAAUGAAUUUUGAAAGGGGUUGUAGCUGGCCGUCUCUUUGGGGCGGCAUGUGCACGCCCUGAUCACUAUCCAUCUCACACACCUGUGCACACACUGUAGGUUGGCUUGUGAUCGGAGCUACGGUCUUCAUUGACUUUGCUCUGGUUGGAGGCCCUCCUAUGUAUCAUCACAAACUACUUCAGUUUAAAGAAUGUACUCUUGCGUCUAACGCAUUUAAAUACAACUUUCAGCAACGGAUCUCUUGGCUCUCGCAUCGAUGAAGAACGCAGCGAAAUGCGAUAAGUAAUGUGAAUUGCAGAAUUCAGUGAAUCAUCGAAUCUUUGAACGCACCUUGCGCUCCUUGGUAUUCCGAGGAGCAUGCCUGUUUGAGUGUCAUGGAAUUCUCAACUCUAUUUGCUUUUGUGAAUAGAGCUUGGAUUUGGAGGUUUAUUGCUGGUACUUGUGAUCGGCUCCUCUUGAAUGCAUUAGCUCGAACCUUUGCGGAUCAGCUAUCGGUGUGAUAAUUGUCUACGCCGUUGCAGUGAAGCAUAUCAAUGGGCUCGGCUUCCAAUCGUCCUUUACUGGACAAUGACUUUGACCUUUGACCUCAAAUCAGGUAGGAUUACCCGCUGAACUUAAGCAUAUC